rnacentral:rRNA from 1 species
AACGAACGCUGGCGGCAGGCUUAACACAUGCAAGUCGAACGGUUGUAGCAAUACAGCAGUGGCAGACGGGUGAGUAACACGUGGGAACCUUCCUAGGGGUACGGAACAACUCAGGGAAACUUGAGCUAAUACCGUAUACGUCCGUGAGGAGAAAGAUUUAUCGCCCUUAGACGGGCCCGCGUCGGAUUAGCUAGUUGGUGGGUAACGGCCUACCAAGGCGACGAUCCGUAGCUGAUCUUAGAGGAUGAUCAGCCACACUGGGACUGAGACACGGCCCAGACUCCUACGGGAGGCAGCAGUGGGGAAUCUUGGACAAUGGCGCAAGCCUGAUCCAGCCAUGCCGCGUGAGUGAAGAAGGUCUUCGGAUGUAAAGACUCUUUUGUCCAGGGACGGAUAAUAGACGGUAACCGUCGG